rnacentral:rRNA from 1 species
GGAGAGUUUGAUCCUGGCUCAGGAUGAACGCUAGCGGCAGGCCUAACACAUGCAAGUCGAGGGGCAUCGGGAUUGAAGCUUGCUUCAAUUGCCGGCGACCGGCGCACGGGUGCGUAACGCGUAUGUAACCUACCUAUAACAGGGGCAUAACACUGAGAAAUUGGUACUAAUUCCCCAUAAUAUUCGGAGAGGCAUCUCUCCGGGUUGAAAACUCCGGUGGUUAUAGAUGGACAUGCGUUGUAUUAGCUAGUUGGUGAGGUAACGGCUCACCAAGGCAACGAUACAUAGGGGGACUGAGAGGUUAACCCCCCACACUGGUACUGAGACACGGACCAGACUCCUACGGGAGGCAGCAGUGAGGAAUAUUGGUCAAUGGACGCAAGUCUGAACCAGCCAUGCCGCGUGCAGGAUGACGGCUCUAUGAGUUGUAAACUGCUUUUGUACGAGGGUAAACGCAGAUACGUGUAUCUGUCUGAAAGUAUCGUACGAAUAAGGAUCGGCUAACUCCGUGCCAGCAGCCGCGGUAAUACGGAGGAUUCAAGCGUUAUCCGGAUUUAUUGGGUUUAAAGGGUGCGUAGGCGGUUUGAUAAGUUAGAGGUGAAAUUUCGGGGCUCAACCCUGAACGUGCCUCUAAUACUGUUGAGCUAGAGAGUAGUUGCGGUAGGCGGAAUGUAUGGUGUAGCGGUGAAAUGCUUAGAGAUCAUACAGAACACCGAUUGCGAAGGCAGCUUACCAAACUAUAUCUGACGUUGAGGCACGAAAGCGUGGGGAGCAAACAGGAUUAGAUACCCUGGUAGUCCACGCAGUAAACGAUGAUAACUCGUUGUCGGCGAUACACAGUCGGUGACUAAGCGAAAGCGAUAAGUUAUCCACCUGGGGAGUACGUUCGCAAGAAUGAAACUCAAAGGAAUUGACGGGGGCCCGCACAAGCGGAGGAACAUGUGGUUUAAUUCGAUGAUACGCGAGGAACCUUACCCGGGCUUGAAAGUUAGCGACGAUUCUUGAAAGAGGAUUUCCCUUCGGGGCGCGAAACUAGGUGCUGCAUGGUUGUCGUCAGCUCGUGCCGUGAGGUGUCGGGUUAAGUCCCAUAACGAGCGCAACCCCUACCGUUAGUUGCCAUCAGGUGAAGCUGGGCACUCUGGCGGGACUGCCGGUGUAAGCCGAGAGGAAGGUGGGGAUGACGUCAAAUCAGCACGGCCCUUACGUCCGGGGCUACACA